CAUGCGUCUUAAAUGAGCCAAUCAGGGUUGGACAGUAUCGCCCCACUCCACACACCAAACCCGAUACGAAGGACCAGACUGGAUUCAGACCACAAACCAUGUCACAUCUACUCUGUGUUUUGUAACGGAUGAUCGUUACUCACCCUGUCCACAGUACUUAGACAAUGUUCCGGGUUCCGACACCAUGUGGUUUGCUCAGCGCUGUGUCUGUGGGUUGUACUGGACGUCUCCACAGCAAAUGCUGUCCUUGUGUUCCUUCAUAAGGAUCUUCUCACUGCCCAGACGUCCACAGCACAACUG
ensembl:lncRNA